UACGGAGGGUGCAAGCGUUGUCCGGAUUUAUUGGGUUUAAAGGGUGCGUAGGUGGCUAUUUAAGUCAGUGGUGAAAGCCUGCAGCUUAACUGCAGGACUGCCAUUGAUACUGAAUAGCUUGAGUACUGAUGAGGUAGGCGGAAUUGAUAGUGUAGCGGUGAAAUGCAUAGAUAUUAUCAAGAACACCGAUUGCGAAGGCAGCUUACUAAGGAGUUACUGACACUGAGGCACGAAAGCGUGGGGAUCAAACAGG
rnacentral:rRNA from 1 species